rnacentral:rRNA from 1 species
UACGUAGGGUGCAAGCGUUGUCCGGAAUUAUUGGGCGUAAAGAGCUCGUAGGCGGUUUGUCGCGUCUGCUGUGAAAACGCGAGGCUCAACCUCGCGCCUGCAGUGGGUACGGGCAGACUAGAGUGCGGUAGGGGAGAUUGGAAUUCCUGGUGUAGCGGUGAAAUGCGCAGAUAUCAGGAGGAACACCGGUGGCGAAGGCGGUUCUCUGGGCAUUACCUGACGCUGAGGAGCGAAAGCGUGGGGAGCAAACAGG